AGUGUCAGUGAAAUCGCUGUCCCAUGUGGCAAAAGUCCUCGUGGGUGACGGCCAGGCAUGUGAUGAAGGGGGUAACGAAGAAUGGAGAAAAUAAUUAGAGACAGAGGAGUGAAUGGUGGGAAGGAGAUGGAGGGAGAGGGGGAUGAGAGGAAAAAAAUUGAAAGAAAAAAGGAAUUGAAACACACCUCCAAAAAAAGUGUAUGUGGGAAACCAGGAAAAGGAAAGGGCCAAUGUGACCGAAUCAUCCUCGGGAGAAGGAGCACGUUCCUCAGCCUUCUCUCUGGUGCCUGGCUGAAGCUACCCCCUGUAGCCAGAGCACCUGAGGGGCCAAGACCUGUCCCAUACUCGGUCCUCAAGCAGCAAGACUUUGGGGAAGCCAGGUUUGGAGUCCAGUCAUCCACAGAGCGAGGAAAUCCUUAUUUACUGACACACCCAAAUGCGGGUUUUCUCCAGGCUCUUGGAUCCAGCAGUCCCAAGGCCGCCCCGACAUUUGCCAUCCAGCUGAUCACUUGUCACCCAAUUCCCAUCCAGUUUCGGCUUGUACGCCGCUGCCAGGCACAAACCGCUGGGCUUCGUGCCUCUUCGUGGAGGAGCACUUGACUCGUGGAGAGGUGCGGGUGCCGCGGCGUGCACCGGGAGGCUGCCUCCUCGCUGGGGCACGCCUGGUGCAGAACUGCUAAUCGCUUUCUGAUUGAAGUGGCUGCUUGCUGCCAGGACUUCUCUGCCAAAAGAUAGCUGUAUAAUACUGAUAAUCAGGCGCCCGGUGAAGAUAAAAUGCCUGUUGCUUGCCUCUAACUGAAGAGUUUCAUGUUGACAGGCUCCUUAUUACGGAGAGCCGUUUGUGCUAUGGAAAAAGCAGAGCCUUUUACUGAAAAAAAAAAUAAAAAAUCUUAUCUCAGCCUAGAAGUGCAGAGAGUGCAAUUAAUUAAUUUGUUUCUGGAGUCUGACCUCUAGGCACAACAGAUAGCAAUGAGCUAUAUAUUGUAAUUACAGGAUACAGCAAGCCUAGCCUAUAGCUCGUAGCUGAGGGCAUUGUGAGGAGAGAAAGAUUGAUGUUGAACGCGGUCGGAUGACUAACACACCGUAACAACCCAACUGGUCAGGCGAGAGGAACAGGCACCUGAAACAGCAACUGGUGUCUUGCUGAAUAAUGAUGCCAUUUCCUAUUUUUAUUACCUUCCUCUAGCCUGGAACUACCUUGUCCCAGCAGCACCGAGUGCAACACGACGUGCAGGACAGCGCUGCCCCACGUGCAGCUGGUGCCGUGCCCUUGCUCACCCCUGUGCUCCUUAUCCUCCCUCAGGAGCACUGUGGGAUUUUCCCAGGAUGAACACCACAGGCAGACAAACACAGGUGACAGUUCCCUUCUGAGAGACUUGCUCUAAUGAUACUCUUCAAUCUUGCCUGGAAAAGCAAAGAAGGAAAAGGUUAAGAGCUACACCCUGCAGCCCUUAAUCUCGGAAGAUGCUUUUGAAAAAUAAGGCCAGUAAGUAAGCUCUUGUGUCAGACAUCCCUGCUCAGGCUGUGAAGAAACCAUUGUUUCAUGGCACUGCAGCUUGUGUUGUGAUCCUUAAAUCUCAGAAGUCCAGCCAGGUCUCGUGUCAGCCUCAGCAGAGACAGGAAACGGUGCUGGUGAGUUGGUAGGUGACCCUUUUCUUCCUGAGAAAGCAACACCCCACGGUGUCAAGAGAACAUGCGCUGCUUGCAGGUCUGUCCUUUUGAGGAGAGUGAAAACGGAGGAGAGCAAAGACCUUGUGACUCCUUUUGUAAUUACACAUCCCCUCGUGCUCGCUGAUACCAAGGACGAUGUUGUCCUCCCUAGUGUCAUUCUGCUGACCUAGAAUUCCCAUUGACUGUUUUUUUCUUUUCUCUAUUUUUUUUUUUUUUUUGAACAUGGUGUGAUAUUCUUCAUUCUGUCUCUUAAGUACGUACAAAGAAAAAAAUAUCCUGUAACCUCACUGGGAAUGUCUGGUGGAAAUUUUUCACAACUGCAUUUCUCUGUUUCUGAAAGUAGGACACAUCGGUGUGAAAGAAAUGAUGCUCAACCCAAUCUCUGUCACCUCAUUACUCUUGAGCUCCAGCUUAAUUACCUCCCUGAUGCUUUGCACAGCUCUUAACCAGACAUUCAGUGUCUGCUUAAAAAUCUGCCAUACAAAAUGAAGUGAUGACUAUAUAGCCUCUUUCUGCUGGGGAGGUGAGCUGUGAGGUUGGUAAAUAUAAUUUCUAGAGAACCCAGAAGGUGCAUUACAUUGUUCAGGCCUGGUUCCGCACCACAGACAACUUACUGGAGUUCACAGAUGACUUACAAAGACCCACCGAAACCAGGCUCGAAGGUCAUAUCACAAAAUUCAUUUAAAGAUAAUAACAAAGUUUUAACCCCAAUAAAUUUGUGGUUUCUUGUUUACAGCUCCAAAGACAGAAGUUACGCUAACAGCUACCAAAUUCUGACCUCCUGUAUCUCACUAUGACUGUAUUGACGCCAGUGGGACUGCGAGAGAGAUGAAUUUGAUGGUUUAUUUUCAGAAAGUCUUUGAGUUCUUUGUGUGAAAGUCCAUACCUCAAAGUGUCUGUGUGGGAAGUGUUUGAACCCCACGCAAAACUUCCUCCUGGUUCAAACACAGGCCUAGGGCUGCCAUUUCAGUAGCCCUGUUUUAUUCUAGUAACCCUCCAAAAUGUAAGCAAGGUGCACACCGAAACUUUAUUUCACAGCCCUAAGAAUUGAUAACAUGCUUGUUUUAAGCAUACAAAAUAAUAUAAGGUAUAACCACCAAGUUACUAUAAUUCUGGCCAUGGAGAAUAUAAAUGGGGAGCUCAACCCAGGCACUUAAUAAUACAGUAAAUAUGCAUCCCUUAUCUUCCCUGACAGAGCAGCUUUCCAAAAUCUGGGUGGUACUUCAAAUCCAUGAAGUCCCUUUCCAGCAGACAAUCUUUUUGUGUCUUACUGCAGAUAGGCUUUGGUUUUCACUACUAUAGUAAUGUCAUGCAUUAGAGUUUCAAGAAACUUAUCUAUUUCCUGGUUUCCCUCACAAACAAUAAAUCACAGCUAACAUUGCUAUUACACAAGGAAAGUCAGUGUUUGUUGGAUUCAAGGUUACACUUAGCCUAUCUGUGACAAUAAUUCUAUGGAAAUAAAAAAUAAUAUUAAAUAAAAUAUGAGGUAUUCACUAAGAUGGACAGUGGUGUUUAGGAUAGAGCUCAGGGCACAUGAACUGGAUCCUAAGCAAUGACAGAAGACCUCCUGUUUCUUAUGGAGAGUUUCUCUCUGGAAGUUGAGCUCACCGAUGCCUCAGCAGCUUCCUGGUAGCAUAUCGUGCUCUCAGAAAGAUCUUUCAAAAAUGCCCGGUUUAGUUCUGAAUCUAUAUUCAGAAUUUGCUUUUCUUUACUAUUGGCUGAUCAGGCAAAUCAUACCACUUUGUGUACAUAUGUUGUGUUCAGCAGCUCUCUGAUCAUUGUCCCUCCGCAUGCCCUUUAC